UACAGAGGGCUCAAGCGUUGUUCGGAUUCAUUGGGCGUAAAGGGCGCGUAGGCUGCGGGGUAAGUCGGGCGUGAAAUCUCACGGCUCAACCCUGAAACUGCACUCGAUACUGCUCUGCUUGAGGACUGGAGAGGAGACUGGAAUUCACGGUGUAGCAGUGAAAUGCGUAGAUAUCGUGAGGAAGACCAGUGGCGAAGGCGGGUCUCUGGACAGUUCCUGACGCUGAGGCGCGAAAGCUAGGGGAGCAAACGGG
rnacentral:rRNA from 1 species